UAUAUAUGUAUGUUCUCGGUUUGUGAUUGAAUCUUUGUGAAUUUUUUUGGGUUUUUUUUUCUUAUUUAUAUACUCUUAUAGUUGUAUAUGUGAGUCUCAACAUCUCUCUCUCUCUCUGUUUUCUUUUUCUUUUUUGCAGGCAUGUGUUAACUCUGUUUUGGUAGGUUUGGCUUACAAAAUUCUCUCACACUUGUAAAGAUGAAUCCUCAGUAUAAAUUACUACGAGAAAUUACACCAACUACUAGAGGAUGGAUAGCAAAAGUUAUUGUUAUUGAAAAACUUAUCCCACGUCUCUCUCGCAAUGGAGUAUUGUACCAACGUAUAAUUCUUGCUGAUAUUGAGAUAAUGUUGCAGUUGUAUUAAGUGUUGACCCAAUGAAAAAAAUCCACGCAAGGUCUGGACCUGCAAAUAUUCAAGAAUUCCUCCUUGUUGAUCAAAGCUUGCAACCAAAAACUUUAACUAUGUGGGACGAACUAACUGAGACCGUUGGAAAAGCAAUAUGUGAAAUUCUUCCACAAAAUCCUAUUAUAAUAAGAACAUGCUUGAAAGUUGUUUCACACAAUGGUUAGAUUUAUUUCAACUAAUUAUUUAGUA